rnacentral:rRNA from 1 species
AUUGAACGCUGGCGGCAGGCUUAACACAUGCAAGUCGAGCGGAGAUGAGGUGCUUGCACCUUAUCUUAGCGGCGGACGGGUGAGUAAUGCUUAGGAAUCUGCCUAUUAGUGGGGGACAACAUUCCGAAAGGAAUGCUAAUACCGCAUACGCCCUACGGGGGAAAGCAGGGGAUCUUCGGACCUUGCGCUAAUAGCUGAGCCUAAGUCGGAUUAGCUAGUUGGUGGGGUAAAGGCCUACCAAGGCGACGAUCUGUAGCGGGUCUGAGAGGAUGAUCCGCCACACUGGGACUGAGACACGGCCCAGACUCCUACGGGAGGCAGCAGUGGGGAAUAUUGGACAAUGGGCGGAAGCCUGAUCCAGCCAUGCCGCGUGUGUGAAGAAGACCUUUUGGUUGUAAAGCACUUUAAGCGAGGAGGAGGCUACCUGGAUUAAUACUCUAGGAUAGUGGACGUUACUCGCAGAAUAAGCACCGGCUAACUCUGUGCCAGCAGCCGCCGUAAAAC